GGGCGCGCACCGACGCACCGCUUGUCAAGCCAUGCUGUGGCAGCAUCCCAUAUAAAAGAACUAGUAGGACUUACGACUAGGAUAUACCACUAUGUACUGGGGUUUUGGGGAGAAGAAAACAUUAAAAAAAAAA